rnacentral:rRNA from 1 species
UACGAACUGUGCAAACGUUAUUCGGAAUCACUGGGCUUACAGGGUGCGUAGGCGGUCUGUUAAGUAGGGUGUGAAAGCCCCCGGCUCAACCGGGGAAUUGCGCCCUAAACUGGCGGACUGGAGCGAGAUAGGGGUGUGCGGAACUUCCGGUGGAGCGGUGAAAUGUGUUGAUAUCGGAAGGAACGCCGGUGGCGAAAGCGGCACACUGGAUCUCAACUGACGCUGAGGCACGAAAGCCAGGGGAGCGAACGGG